rnacentral:rRNA from 1 species
GGUCAAGUGAAUAAGCGCAUUCGGUGGAUGCCUUGGCAGCUGAAGGCGAUGAAGGACGUGGCUACCUGCGAUAAGCCUCGGGGAGUCGGAAACAGACUUUGAUCCGGGGAUUUCCGAAUGGGGAAACCCAGCCAGUGUUACAUUGGUUAUCGCGCACUGAAUCCAUAGGUGUGCGAGGCGAACCCGGGGAACUGAAAUAUCUAAGUACCCGGAGGAAAAGAAAUCAACCGAGAUUCCCCUAGUAGCGAUGAGCGAACGGGGACCAGCCCUUAAGCGGAUCGGCAAUGCGGUGAACCCGGCGUUUCGGCGCCAAGGCGAACCGCGCGUUAGCGGAAGCGUUUGGAAAGACGCGCCAUAGUGGGUGAUAGCCCCGUAUGCGAAAACGGCCGUUUCGUGAAAUCGAGUAGGGCGGGACACGUGAAAUCCUGUCUGAACAUGGGGGGACCAUCCUCCAAGGCUAAAUACUCUCAGCUGACCGAUAGUGAACCAGUACCGUGAGGGAAAGGCGAAAAGUACCCCUGCUAGGGGAGUGAAAUAGUAUCCUGAAACCGAGUGCGUACAAGCAGUGGGAGCCGUUGGAACGUUUAUUCGAUCGCGCCUUCGGGCAUGAUCGGGGGCUGUUCCUUGGUGACUGCGUACCUUUUGUAUAAUGGGUCAGCGACUUACUUUUACUGGCGAGGUUAACCGUUUAGGGGAGCCGUAGGGAAACCGAGUCUCAAAUGGGCGUAUGCGUGCCUUCGGGCACGUUGUAGUCGGUAGGAGUAGACCCGAAACCGGGCGAGCUAGCCAUGGGCAGGGUGAAGGUCAGGUAACACUGACUGAAGGCCCGAACCCACCUAUGUUGAAAAAUGGGGGGAUGACCUGUGGCUAGGAGUGAAAGGCUAAUCAAGCCCGGAGAUAUCUGGUUCUCCUCGAAAACUAUUUAGGUAGUGCCUCUCGUAUCACCAUCGGGGGUAGAGCACUGUUUGGGCUAGGGGGUCACCUCGACUUACCAACCCCAUGCAAACUCCGAAUACCGAUGAGUGCAGCGAGGGAGACAGACGGCGGGUGCUAACGUCCGUCGUCGAAAGGGAAACAACCCGGACCGCCAGCUAAGGUCCCUAAGUCAUGGUUAAGUGGGAAACGAUGUGGGAAGGCCCAGACAGCCAGGAGGUUGGCUUAGAAGCAGCCAUCCUUUAAAGAAAGCGUAAUAGCUCACUGGUCGAGUCGGCCUGCGCGGAAGAUGUAACGGGGCUCAAACUGUCCACCGAAGCUGCGGAUGCCACGCCUUAGGGUGCGGCAUGGUAGAGGAGCGUUCUGUACGCCUGUGAAGGCGGACCGUGAGGUCCGUUGGAGGUAUCAGAAGUGCGAAUGCUGACAUGAGUAACGAUAAAGGAGGUGAAAGUCCUCCUCGCCGAAAGACCAAGGGUUCCUGUGCUACGUUCAUCGGCACAGGGUAAGUCGGCCCCUAAGGCGAGGCCGAAAGGCGUAGUCGAUGGGAAGCUGG